rnacentral:rRNA from 1 species
GACGAACGCUGGCGGCGUGCUUAACACAUGCAAGUCGAACGGAAAGGCCCUGCUUUUGUGGGGUGCUCGAGUGGCGAACGGGUGAGUAACACGUGAGUAACCUGCCCUUGACUUUGGGAUAACUUCAGGAAACUGGGGCUAAUACCGGAUAGGAGCUCCUGCUGCAUGGUGGGGGUUGGAAAGUUUCGGCGGGUGGGGAUGGACUCGCGGCUUAUCAGCUUGUUGGUGGGGUAGUGGCUUACCAAGGCUUUGACGGGUAGCCGGCCUGAGAGGGUGACCGGCCACAUUGCGACUGAGAUACGGCCCAGACUCCUACGGGAGGCAGCAGUGGGGAAUAUUGCACAAUGGGCGGAAGCCUGAUGCAGCAACGCCGCGUGCGGGAUGACGGCCUUCGGGUUGUAAACCGCUUUCGCCUGUGACGAAGCGUGAGUGACGGUAAUGGGUAAAGAAGCACCGGCUAACUACGUG